UACAGAGGGGGCAAGCGUUAUUCGGAAUUAUUGGGCGUAAAGGGCGCGUAGGCGGCCGUGCAAGUGGAAGGUGAAAUCCCUCGGCUCAACCGAGGAACUGCCUUUCAAACUGCAUGGCUUGAGUCCGGGAGAGGUGAGUGGAAUUCCCAGUGUAGCGGUGAAAUGCGUAGAUAUUGGGAGGAACACCAGUGGCGAAGGCGGCUCACUGGACCGGAACUGACGCUGAGGCACGAAAGCGUGGGGAGCAAACGGG
rnacentral:rRNA from 1 species